AUUACCGCGGCUGCUGGCACGUAGUUAGCCGGGGCUUUCUUCUCAGGUACCGUCAAAUCCACAGCAGUUACUCUGCGGAUCCUUCUUCCCUGGCAACAGAGCUUUACGAUCCGAAGACCUUCCUCACUCACGCGGCGUUGCUCGGUCAGACUUCCGUCCAUUGCCGAAGAUUCCCUACUGCUGCCUCCCGAGGGCA
rnacentral:rRNA from 1 species